UACAGGGGGGGCAAGCGUUGUUCGGAAUUACUGGGCGUAAAGGGCUCGUAGGUGGCCAACUAAGUCAGACGUGAAAUCCCUCAGCUUAACUGGGGAACUGCGUCUGAUACUGGAUGGCUUGAGUUUGGGAGAGGGAUGCGGAAUUCCAGGUGUAGCGGUGAAAUGCGUAGAUAUCUAGAGGAACACCGGUGGCGAAGGCGGCAUCCUGGACCAACACUGACACUGAGGAGCGAAAGCCAGGGGAGCAAACGGG
rnacentral:rRNA from 1 species